rnacentral:rRNA from 1 species
AUGGCGCCAAGCAACGUACCAGCGGCCCUGCUCCUGCUCCUGCUGCUGGCCUCUUCCGGCCCUCUCCGUCCUACGCUAUCCGGCGCAGCGCCGCUGGAGCCCGUCGCGGUCAGCCUCCUCGCCGGCGCACAGGAAAAGGGAGCAGUUUGCUUGGACGGGACCCCGCCGGGGUACCACCUGCAGAGAGGCUCCGGUGAUGGAUCCGGCAGCUGGCUCGUCCAUCUAGAGGGAGGAGGCUGGUGCAGCACUGUCAAGGAUUGUUCUGGUCGCAGAAUGUCUGUUCUUGGUUCAUCAAACUUCAUGAAACCACUACAGUUCACCGGCCAUGGAAUUUUUGACAGUGAUGAGAUAUAUAAUCCUGAUUUCUACAACUGGAAUAAAGUCUAUGUGCGGUAUUGCGAUGGGGCGUCAUUUGCUGGGGAUGCAGAAGGUCAAGCGCAGGAUGGAACCACAGUUUACUUCAGAGGGUUGCGCAUCUAUGAAGCAGUUAUUGGCGAACUCAUGGAAAAAGGACUCGCCAAUGCCACACAGGUGCUCUUUACAGGUUGUUCUGCCGGAGGUCUAGCCACGAUACUGCAUUGCGAUGAUUUUAGUGCACGGUUUCCACAGCAGGUUUCGGUUAAAUGCUUUGCGGAUGCUGGGUUUUUUCUUGACGUAAAGGAUAUAUCUGGAGAAAGGUCCUUUUGGUCUUUCUACAACCGAGUUGUACAGCUCCAGAAUGUUAGACAAGUGUUGCACAAGGACUGUCUUGCCAACAAGGACCCAACCGAGUGUUUCUUCCCCACAGAGCUUAUUAAGAGCAUCCGCACCCCAAUGUUUAUUCUCAACUCUGCAUACGAUUCAUGGCAGAUACAGAAUGUUCUCCUACCGACUUCAUCUUCCCCUGAAAAGUCAUGGUUGAGUUGCAAGGACAAUAUCGGAAACUGCAAUUCAACCCAAAUUAAAGUUCUUGAUGAAAUCAGGAACACAAUGAUCAAUGAUUUGAAGGUCAUCAAUGAUAAGGCAGACUGGGGCAUGUUCAUUGAUUCAUGCUUCACUCACUGCCAAACGCUCUUUCGCAUCUCUUGGAGUUCACCAACAUCCCCAAGGCUGGGAAAUAAGAAUAUUGCAAAGGUUGUUGGAGAUUGGUACUUUGGAAGGAGCCAAGGAGUGAAAGAGAUUGACUGCGAGUAUCCGUGCAAUCCAACAUGCAAUAGUCUGCCGCCACCAUGA